rnacentral:rRNA from 1 species
UACGAAGGUCCCGAGCGUUGUUCGGAAUCACUGGGCGUAAAGGGAGCGUAGGCGGCGCGGUAAGUCAGAUGUGAAAUCCCGGGGCUCAACCCCGGAACUGCAUCCGAUACUGCCGUGCUAGAGGAUUGGAGAGGUAGCUGGAAUUCUUGGUGUAGCAGUGAAAUGCGUGGAGAUCCGGAGGAACACCGACGGCGUAGGCAGCGCCCUAGACGAGAACUGACGCUCAGGCACGAAAGCGCGGGGAGCGAACAGG